rnacentral:lncRNA from 1 species
CAAUUUGUAAGUGAAGAAUCAUGGCACAUAAAGUGUCCAUGCCUUUGUGCUUUCUUCUCAAGUUCCUUGUUCAUUUAACAAAGAAACAAGCACUAAGUGUUUGCAUUGACUAAGGGUUGUUCAAAAGCAACUCUUAUUUCUUCAUACAACAAUUUGUAAUUGAAGAAUUAUGACAUUAAAAGUGUUGUCCUCUUUAUGAUAGACUUUUUUCUAACAUAUUCUUCUAAUGAUACAUUAUCAAUAGGAAGAUUGUGAGGAUGAGACUACUUAGGUACAUUU